CAGGGAGGCCGCGGCGGAGGGGCCGCCGGGGCCGCCGCCAGCAGCGCCGGCGGGGGGAGCGGGAGCAGGAGGAGGAGGAGGAGCUGGAGAGUGAAGGUACGAGGGGCGAGAUGAGCAGGAGGAAUGUGCCUCAGAGGUAAAGAUAAGGAAUAUGGUCUGGAAAAGAGGGUAACUGCACCUGAAGGCAUUGCUCAGAACAGGAAGGUGUAUGCUAAUGAAAGCAGCAAAGAAAACUACAGGAAGAAGCACAGGCUCUGAUGAGAAGGGAAGGGUAAGUGCGAAAGUCAUCAGCGCUGAGGAGACCAGAGAAGUCACCCAGAGGCCAGGGCAGAGGGUGGAGGGAGAAGCAGCACACCAAAGCCAGAAACCAGCAGAGCCUGAGAGGAGGGUGAUACAUGGACCUAAGUGAUACAAAAUGCUGCAGUGCUUGGUUAUUCUGGAGUGAGCGUGUUGCUGUGGAGUUUCUUGCCCCAAAUUCGGAAUGAUGUAUUAAUAAAUUUUAAAACUGC